rnacentral:rRNA from 1 species
GCUUAGCCUUAAACUAAGAUAAUUAAAACAACAAAAUUAUUCGCCAGAGAACUACAAGCCAAUGCUUAAAACUCAAAGGACUUGGCGGUGCCCUAAACCCACCUAGAGGAGCCUGUUCUAUAAUCGAUAUACCCCGAUAAACCUUACCCUUUCUUGCCAAUACAGCCUAUAUACCGCCAUCGUCAGCUAACCUCAACAGAGACAAAAAGUAAGCAAAACCAUUAAACCAUAAAAACGUUAGGUCAAGGUGUAGCAUAUGAAAAGGAAAGUAAUGGGCUACAUUUUCUAAAUUAGAACAUCAACGAAUUAUCUUAUGAAACCUAAGAAAUAUGAAGGAGGAUUUAGUAGUAAAUUAAGAAUAGAGUGCUUAAUUGAAAUAGGCAAUAGGGCGCGC